CAAAUCUCAGAGAAAAGCACCUCCCUACUAAAGGUUCUAAAAGGGGCUGAAACACAACACAAAGCUUUACCCACUAAGCUCCAUAGGCAGGAAGUACACAGGAUUAGGUCCACACUGGAAGCCCUACAGAUGCAAGUUGAGCAAACAAUUCGUAAACUAAAAACAAACUACUAUAGACAGGGAAACAGAGCGGGCCGACUGCUGGCAUCCCAACUUAGGGAACGAACCUCCCAGAUGAAAAUUACAUAUGUCAGGGAUAGUGCUGGAACAAAAAUUGUAAACCCUAAGGCGAUUGUGGAUGAAUUUUAUGCAAAGUUAUACAACCUUUCCGCCGACCCCGUCC